UCAUCUUUUCUGGGUUUUACAGUUCUGUCUGGUUUAUGAAGCUACCGUUGACAAACUUUGUCUUUUUAUAUUGCAGGAGAAAGCCAUGGCAGAAGCAAAUGAAGCUAGAGUGUCAGGGAACAGUUUGUUCGUGAAUGGCUUUCGAAGAGGCGUUUGUAAAGAUUUAAAGUAUAUGCUUGUUUCAGAGCUUGUUCAGGAGUUUCCUGAAUCCAUAGAGCUUGGAUCCAUAUGCUGUUUAAACAAAGGGUAAAUAUGAAGAAACGGUUAAGGAAUGCACAAGAGCACUAGAGCUAAAUCCUACUUACACUAUGGCCAUGAGAGGGAAGGAAAUGAAUACGCUUUGCGAGGGAUAGAUGCAUGGGGUCUUGAUAUUCUGAUCAUUGACCACUAUGGAAAUUUGAUCGUUCAAGCUCUGCUUAGAAGGCUUAAGAAACUCAACCCAACUCUUUUCUUUUUCACUGUCUCAAACAUUUUUGACAAGGCCGCUGAACAUGAAAAACAUGAGUUCGCAGUUCAUGUGCUGCGUGAGUGCAUGUUACAAGUGCAACAAUUGCCUGGCAUGUGUUCUCUAAUGCAAUAUAAUGACUAGGGAAGAUCAAAUGCACAUCUAAUUUCACUCGCUUGAUUAGAGGCGAUUUGUUCAUGAGAUUGAUGAGGACUUGUGAUGAUGUUAAGCCAUUGUUUGCUUUCGUUACAACAGAGAAAGUUCCAUUCCAAGCUCUUCAGCCUCUACUAUGUACCAUCUCAAACAACAUUCUCCAAGGAACCGUGUUGUCCACGCCUUCAUGUCCUUUUCCUCUGCUUUGUCAGAACCCGUUGUUGGACAUCUCCAAGGCAACAUUUUUCAACUCGCUUCCUCUCCUAACUCUAUGUUCGUUGUUCAGAAGAUCUUCAAAUCCGGGAGUGCUCUGAUGGUUAGACGCGUGUACAGAGAGAUUGUGAACGUUCCUGGUGCCCUUGAAUCGUCGAUGACACAUCCAUAUGGCCACUACGUCGUGCAAGACAUGCUAAGACGAUUCUAUACACUCCUCCCAUACAUCUUCAACACCAUUGUUGCUGCUGUGCUUGCCAGAGAGGAGGAGCUUCAAAGCAACAUCUACGGUGUUCACGUCUUGCGUGGAGUCAAGCUUCUUAUGAGAACUAGAAGAACUUUCUAAAUUUCCAAAAAGUAUCAAGGAAAUUAAGUUGGCUGGAUAUAGGUACAUGCAUAAUUCUACAGAAGAAAGAAGAAGAAGAUAUAUCUGCAAGAAAUAAAUAAAUAGUUGUGUAAAAACAUUUUGUGUAAAACAUUUCUCCUGUUCAUAUAUGUUUUCUUUUGAAGUUGUAAAGGAUUGUUGUAUAUGCGCACAUAGCUUGCUGAAUGGUUUUAAGUGCUUCAAUUUUUUUUGAUGGAA